rnacentral:rRNA from 1 species
AUUGAACGCUGGCGGCAUGCUUUACACAUGCAAGUCGAACGGUAACAGGCCGCAAGGUGCUGACGAGUGGCGAACGGGUGAGUAAUGCAUCGGAACGUGCCCAGUCGUGGGGGAUAACGCAGCGAAAGCUGCGCUAAUACCGCAUACGAUCUAUGGAUGAAAGCGGGGGACCGUAAGGCCUCGCGCGAUUGGAGCGGCCGAUGUCAGAUUAGGUAGUUGGUGGGGUAAAGGCUCACCAAGCCAAGCGAUCUGCAGCUGGUCUGAGAGGACGACCAGCCACACUGGGACUGAGACACGGCCCAGACUCCUACGGGAGGCAGCAGUGGGGAAUUUUGGGGACUAGGGGUCAAUCCCGUGCAUCCAGCAAUGCCGCGUGCAGGAAGAAGGCCUUCGGGUUCGUAA